rnacentral:lncRNA from 1 species
UGUAUUUAGUGUCUCAAUAACCACGACCAAUAAGCAAAGAGCUAGUCCACCCCAGCUCCCAACAGCGAUGCGACUCUAGGUUAAUAUCAAUUACUAUCAACUCCUACCAUUGGCUGCACAUUGCCUACACCGUUUCUCUGAGUAGUCAAUGCACCAAAGACUGCUGGACAUCUGAUAGCUGGGAUGAGUUACAUGGUAGAAUGACGACCAGACCGGAAACCAGAAGUCCUGUCUUGGAACUGCAGCCUUGCUGUUACGUAGCUGUGCGACCUCAGCUAAGAGCUCCCUCAGCCCUCCAAAUCACUGAUUCGGUUUCUUUCAAAACGCCCAAAGCAGCGCACAUAGUAGGUAUUUUAUUGAUUCAACAGAAGGGCACAGAGCCGGAAACAAAGUAGACACUUAAAGAACAUCAGCUGCGUCUGGCUAUGCCUUUCUUAACCGGCAGUCCUGUGACCUGUGGGGUCUGCUCAGACAGCUCAAGAGAAUGAUGCGUGGAGGGCCUGGCAUCUGCCAGGUGCCGCGAGAAUAGCUUCCCAAGGGCUACCUCAUUUGUUCAGUGAGAUAAGUGCUAACGUUCUGUGCGCUUGGCGAAGACACAGAGUGAGUGCUUGUGAGGCCCCAAAGCCUACGCCAUUGUGUGUAGGUCCCGACCCGAGUUCAGGGUAUGCCAACAUCUGCCAGUUGUCGCUUCAAAUGGUGGCCUACGUUUCCAGGAGGGAAAUGAGAGGGGCUGGUGACCUUACCAACCACAUGUGUGGCACACCGGCUGAGAUGGCUGAUGGCAGUGCAAACAGCAGGAUGAAAUAUAAUGUCAGAAUGAUAUGUUUUUACACACUCUCAGCCUCCUUAAACACCCCCUCCCCCCCCACACACACACAAACACAAAAGGAAGCACAGAAAUAACCAUUUUAUAAAGUGGCACUGAGCACCUGUUUCCUCCUCAGAAAUUCUUAAUGGACUUGACUUCCUCUGCUCAUUUCCAUGUUUCCUACUCACUGGCCUCCCAGAACGUGCCACCCAUUCUCUGUGCCUGGUACCCUACGGUCUGUCUGAUCCUCUUGGGUGUAUCGUCACAGAGCCUGGGCUCCUUACCUUGGCUCAGUCUCUGUCCUGUGUUUGUCUUUCACUUUUGCACCUCAGGGAGAGGUAUGCUGCCGCCAUCUUGGGACAUCAACAAGCCUUGCCCUGUGCCUACCUUCUGCUUGUGGGGGGAAGGGCAUUAGAAUAUAAGCUGAUGUGUUCUUUAAAGGGUAAACAGGAAAAUCGAUCCCGUUUACAUGACAAGGAUUCAGGGUUUGAAAUGCAGUCUCUAAGUGAACAUGACCCAAGGAGAAAGAAAAAUAGGCAAGAAAAUCUUGAUGGUUUCACAAGACACGUAAUGAACCGAGCCCUGUGUUGACCAUGAGGUGGGUAAGCAGGGGAGGUGAGAACCAUGGUUAUAAGGUCAGGAUCCUGGCCCUGCCACCUGAUCUGUGCGUCCAUGACCAACUGUUUCCUAUUUCCUAGCCUCCAUUUUCUAACGUGCAGAACAAUUACAUCAUAAUGUUUGGUCUCUCGGCUGCAUGGGUGCCGACAUUCUCCAUGUAUGUAGACACGCAGAUUUUGAAUGUUUAGCGCUGAGCUCUCCACUGUGACCUUUCCACAUUGACAGAAUAACAUUUUCCAUUGGGCUCGAAGACCAAAUGUGUUCAUCCUGUUGCCCAACAUUUGGAUUUUUCUUGACGUACUGGCCCAAGGCAUCAAGAAGCCUCUGUAAUGAGUCUCAGGACCUUCCCAGGGCUAUAUUCUAUGGCAAAUGGCAUGAUGAUUAUGGAAUGAAUUCACUAAUUGCUAUCAUCCUAAGUGCCUUUGUAUACACUGAAAUCCACUUUUCACUUUUAUGCCCAUUUUCAAGGCUUGAAAAUGUCAUUUUACUUAAUAUCCACAAGAUAAACUUUUUUUUUUUAACCUGGAUGAACUCACUGCAGUUUGUGGAAUUUGAUUACAUAUUCUGUCUUCCACAUCCUUAUGCAAAUGCUUUUAGUUUUAUUUUUUUAAGUUUAUAUAUUUAUUUUGAGAGAGAGAGAAGAGAGAGAGCACAAGCAGAGGAGAGGCAGAGAGAGAGGGAGAGAGAGAGAAUCUCCAGCAAGCUCCACGCUAUCAGCACAGAGCCCGACUUGAAGCUCGAACUCAAGAACCAUGAGAUCGUGACCUGAGCCAAAAUCAAGGGUGGGAUGCUUAACCAACUGAGCCACCCAGGGGCCCAACUUUUAGUUUUAAAUAAUCACCAUUGGAACUGGAAAACUCUUAAGGGACACCAUUGGCAUUUUACAAUCUGAAGAUGACUGAGCCCUUUAUCUCUCCCUUUUGUUUCCUUUCAGUUAUAAAGUUCAAAUGCUUAGCCUUGCACUAAGGCUUUCCAUGACUUCACCUCACCACAGCCUUUGUCAUCAUCAUCAGCACCCCCUCAAUGUGCUCAAGCAAAAUCCCUCUAAUUCCUAAUUCCCUAGACAUGUCCAUCAUACAUUAUUUUCUCUGCCUGAGAGGCUCUUCAUCUCCUAAAUCUUGAAUGAUGUAAAGUUUUUAAUAAAUAGAGCAUUUUACCUCAUGCAAAAUGGGGACACUUAUGGGAUUCGCUAUCACAUGAAAUAGCACAUGCCGAAAGUGUAACUUGAUUACAAAAGGUUUAGACAUAUUCAUGGGAUGCAAGAGCCACAAAGGAAAUGUUUUCAGGGCUUGAGGUAUUGGGCAAAGACAGAAUCUUCUAUUAUCCUGUAUAAUACACUGCACUUUUCUCUCCAUCCAUACUUCCCCAAGGGUAAAGCAGAGAAGAAGAAAGAUAAAGGAAAAUCACAGAGAAACAGAGAAGAGAUGACUGGUUGUACAGAACACUUCGACAAUCCGGAAUGGCAGCUGUGAUUCCCAUAGCCGCCGGGCGAGUCGAACAUUUGUUUUCACAACAUCAAAAAAGCUUUUUACAGAAUCGACGCAGUGCCAAUCCCCAAAGGUAACCUCUAUCCAUCUCAUUCAACACACAGAACUUCUCAGAAUUUUAGCAAGUCCCAGUGGUCACUUAUCUUAACUCUGAGAUGUCUUUAUCCCCUUCAUUAAUUGGGCAAAAUAGGGCACUUUUGUGAGUCACUGUUGAGGCUCACUCUGGCAAUAAAGCAUUUACAAAGAGCUACUCAGGACUAGCUGGUAAGAGCUGCGUUGUAGCUGUGAGCAUGCCAGAGUGUGUGUGUCUCUCUCUGACCCAUUAUUGCAGAUUUAAAAACAACCAUGUUUUCAAAUGGCACUACGAGCUGCCAAUGAUGUAUCACCAUCAUAUCUCAUUAUUCUCCACUAAAUGUGAUAAUAAUGUGAUCUGUUAACAUAAAAAAAGUUUGACUUCACAGAAGCAGCUGGAAAUGGACAACCACAAUAUGCAUAAAUCUAACUCCUACCAUCGGCUACACACUGCUUGACAUAUAUUGUUAGAAGCACCUCGCAUUUGCGAGUUCUCUUAAGCAAAAUAGUUGCAUUAGGUCUCAGCUGGGGCUGUGCACCAGGCAGUUGGGGAAACAUUCAAUUCUCAGUGGAAGCCAGAAUUUGAAUUCUCUCAUCUUUUAGGAAUCAUUUACUAGGUUUGGAGAGUAUCCAGGCAGCUCAGGUGCUCCCACAGAUAUCUCUGAAGUUCCCUCCGUCUUUGCUCACUGAUGGUUGGAUAAAUGAGGUUAUCUUUAAACUGAUGAUUGCAGGGAAGAAAAAAAGCACGCUAAGUGAACCAACAACAGAGAUUCAAAGAAAUAUUAGAUUUAAGCUCACAGUGGUCAAAAGAAACAAGGGUACGAAGAACUUUAAGAAAUAGUCUGGGUCUCCAUGAGCCACAGUCAACAGCGGUGUUCAAGUCAGGAACCUCAGUCCAUCAGUUACACUAAUGAGUCCAGUGUCAUGAGUUUAAUUCUUCUAAUUCUGGCACUAGUUCCUGGCCAUCUUUGGCUCCCUUCUUGACACACAUUAGCUUCUAGCCUUUGCUUCCGUAUCUUUAUCUUUACCCCCAACACAGCACUUCUAAUCCUCUCUUCUCUCUGUUGCUUUGACCUUCUCCACAAGAACAACAUUGACUCUCAAGUCUGUUUCCAUCCCCACCAUGAACCUGAGUGCCCACACCCAUAUUCAUUAUCUCCAAUAGACACUACUCAUUGGCCAUAUUGACUUAGAUUAUUAGUCUUAGGUAUUUAAAAUUCAAAAUGUUCAAAAUCAAACUCAUUAUCUUCUAUUUCUUUUUCCUCCUAGACUUGCUCCUUCUGCCUUUAUUACUGAUUGCACUUAAUAGCAUGAUCCUCAAUGGAGUCAUGCAAAUUAGAAACCCAGUGGCUCCUUGCAGUACAUGCAUGCGAGGUCUGAGGGGAGACAUUUGCCAGAGCUGGAAAGAUGACUGAUUAUCUAUUUGGAUGGAGGGAAUUGCUCUUGGGCCUUCAAAGUCCUCCAGACAAGACCUGAGAUGCUCCCCACCUCCUGGGGGACUCUGUACCUCCCUUCUCUACCAAAGAGUCACAGAAUGUGCCACGUCUGAGAAUUCCAGGUAGGAAUUCAUACUUUUUAUUUGUCCUAUUAAUUUUUUUCAACUCACUGAAAAUUUCCUUUUCCAAAACUCUACUUCCAAAUCACUCUUUCGUACACUGUUUUGGCAUAGUAUAUCACUCUGAUUCUUUGUUACACCUACUCUUAAUCUUGUAUCACCAAAGUGUUUUUGGUUUUUUUAUUUGAGAGACAGUGAGAGAGAGUCAGGGGGAGGGGCAAAGGGAGAGAGGGAGAGGGAGAGAGAGAGAGAGAGGGAGAGAGAGAGAGAGAGAGAAAGAGAGAGAGAGAGAGAGAGAGAGAGAAUCCUACACAGGCUCCGCACUGAGCUUGGCUCUAUCCCACGACCCUAGGAUUAUGACCUGAGCCGAAAUCAAGAGUCGGACGCUCAACCAACUGAGUCACCCAAGCAUCCCUCACCAAAGUGUUUUUAUUCUCUUUAUUUAAUUAUUAAAUUGUGUUGUUAUAUUACUUACCUACUAUUAUUUCAUUCUCUUAAUUGCCAGUUUAUUCAUUUUGGUAUACAAUUAUCCUUAUGGCUGACUUAAAAAUUUGAUCAUUUG